rnacentral:lncRNA from 1 species
AAAAAGAGAAAGAGAAUGCCAAAGGGCAGAAGAAAGCAAAGGCAAGCGUAGGUUGCGAAGUGGUUUCGUCGCCUUCCGGCGGUGGUUCUUUGUGUGAUCAAUUUUUCGUGUCUAGUUUUCUUUUGUUUUGGUUUCUCAGGAUUUUUUGGGUUUAUCUGUGAGGGUUUUUAUCUAUGUUUCUUUGGGUUUUGUUGUCCCUAUUCUGUGUGGUGCUCGUCGGAGGGCUCUGGACUUGUGGCUUUCAUCGCUUGGAGCUUGAUGGGCUCCUCAAAAUGACUCCACGACUAUUAAAUACUCAAAAUGCCAUAGGCCGAUCCUUGUUGCUGAUAAUGAGUAUAGAGCUUUGGUAGGUAGUUGAUUACUUGGGCGGUGUUUCUUGGUAAUGGAAUGGUGGCAAAGGCCUUUGCUUGCGUUGUUUGCUUCUAUAUUUUUCUACUAAUUAGCAUGCAUGGGAUUUUUUGUUGUGUUUUUUCGGUUUUUUUCUUGGGUCUCCUAGUGUGCGACUUCUGGUGUUGCUCGGUGCUAAUGGAUUGUCGGUGGGGAUGUAGUUGGUGGUGACUUGCGCAGUGCUGAUGAUAGCCAGGUGUCCUGGGUAAUAAAGUGGGCUGGGUUUUUCUACGGGUUAGACUUCCACUCAUUUGAGGUGAGUCUAUUUUUGGGUUGGUUUUGAUCUUGUAUCAUACAGCUGCCCACUGAAUUUUCAAUGCAAUGUUAAAAAAAAUAAUAAAAAGAGUUAAAUAUUGACAUUAAUUUUAA